UGCAGAGGUCCCGAGCGUUGUUCGGAUUCAUUGGGCGUAAAGGGUGCGUAGGCGGUUUUUUAAGUUUGAUGUGAAAUCCCGGGGCUCAACCCUGGAAUUGCAUUGAAUACUGAAGAACUAGAGAUCUGGAGAGGAAACUGGAAUUUACGGUGUAGCAGUGAAAUGCGUAGAGAUCGUAAGGAAGACCAGUGGCGAAGGCGAGUUUCUGGACAGAUACUGACGCUGAGGCACGAAGGCCAGGGGAGCAAACGGG
rnacentral:rRNA from 1 species